AGCAGCCGCGGUAAUUCCAGCUCCAAUAGCGUAUAUUAAAGUUGUUGCAGUUAAAAAGCUCGUAGUUGAAUUUCGGGAUUGACGUGAUGGUCGUGCCUUAAGGGGUAUGAACUGUCGCAGUUGAUUUCUCACCUUCUGGAGAAGCUUGAUGUCCUUAAUUGGGUGUCAUGUGGAACCAGGACCUUUACCUUGAAAAAAUUAGAGUGUUUAAAGCAGGCAUUUUGCUCGAAUACAUUAGCGUGGAAUAAUAGAAUAGGACGGCAUGGUUCUAUUUUGUUGGUUUCUAGGAUCACCGUAAUGAUUAAUAGGGAUAGUUGGGGGCAUUAGUAUUCAAUUGUCAGAGGUGAAAUUCUUGGAUUUAUUGAAGACUAACUACUGCGAAAGCAUUUGCCAAGGAUGUUUUCAUUAAUCAAGAACGAAAGUUAGGGGAUCGAAGACGAUCAGAUACCG
rnacentral:rRNA from 1 species